rnacentral:rRNA from 1 species
CAGUCGAACGGCAGCACGGGAGCAAUCCUGGUGGCGAGUGGCGAACGGGUGAGUAAUAUAUCGGAACGUGCCCAGUCGUGGGGGAUAACGCAGCGAAAGCUGUGCUAAUACCGCAUACGAUCUAUGGAUGAAAGCGGGGGACCGUAAGGCCUCGCGCGAUUGGAGCGGCCGAUAUCAGAUUAGCUAGUUGGUGGGGUAAAAGCCCACCAAGGCGACGAUCUGUAGCUGGUCUGAGAGGACGACCAGCCACACUGGAACUGAGACACGGUCCAGACUCCUACGGGAGGCAGCAGUGGGGAAUUUUGGACAAUGGGCGCAAGCCUGAUCCAGCAAUGCCGCGUGCAGGAUGAAGGCCUUCGGGUUGUAAACUGCUUUUGUACGGAACGAAACGGUUCGCUUUAAUACAGUGGGCUAAUGACGGUACCGUAAGAAUAAGCACCGGCUAACUACGUGCCAGCAGCCGCGGUAAUACGUAGGGUGCGAGCGUUAAUCGGAAUUACUGGGCGUAAAGCGUGCGCAGGCGGUGAUGUAAGACAGAUGUGAAAUCCCCGGGCUCAACCUGGGACCUGCAUUUGUGACUGCAUCGCUAGAGUACGGUAGAGGGGGAUGGAAUUCCGCGUGUAGCAGUGAAAUGCGUAGAUAUGUGGAGGAAUACCAAUGGCGAAGGCAGCCCCCUGGGAUAACACUGACGCUCAUGCACGAAAGCGUGGGGAGCAAACAGGAUUAGAUACCCUGUAGUCCACGCCCUAAACGAUGCCGACUAGUUGUUGGGAAUUUACAUUCUCAGUAACGUAGCAACGCGUGAAGUCGGCCGCCUGGGGAGUACGGUCGCAAGAUUAAAACUCAAAGGAAUUGACGG